UCCCUUCCCCUGAAUCCCGUGGAUUCCUCCAAUGUAAAUCCUUUCCCUUGCCCUGAAUUCCCGUGGGUUUCUCCGAGGAAGGGCUCCAGCCCUCCAGCCCGGGUUCCCAGCCCUGAGGCAGCCCCCGUGUUCCAGGUGUUCUCCUACAGCCCUGUGUGUGUUCCAGGUGUUCUCCUACAGCCCCGUGUGUGUUCCAGGUGUUCUCCUACAGCCCUGUGUGUGUUCCAGGUGUUCUCCUACAGCCCCGUGUGUGUUCCAGGUGUUCUCCUACAGCCCCGUGUGUGUUCCAGGUGUUCUCCUACAGCCCCGUGUGUGUUCCAGGUGUUCUCCUACAGCCCCGUGUGUGUUCCAGGUGUUCUCCUACAGCCCCGUGUGUGUUCCAGGUGUUCUCCUACAGCCCCGUGUGUGUUCCAGGUGUUCUCCUACAGCCCCGUGUGUGUUCCAGGUG